UACGUAGGGGGCAAGCGUUGUCCGGAUUUAUUGGGCGUAAAGAGCGUGUAGGCGGCCAUACAGGUCAGCUGUGAAAACUCGAGGCUCAACCUCGAGACGUCGGUUGAAACCGUAUGGCUAGAGUCCGGAAGAGGAGAGUGGAAUUCCCGGUGUAGCGGUGAAAUGCGCAGAUAUCGGGAAGAACACCCGUGGCGAAGGCGGCUCUCUGGGACGGUACUGACGCUGAGACGC
rnacentral:rRNA from 1 species